rnacentral:rRNA from 1 species
UACGGAGGGGGCUAGCGUUAUUCGGAAUUACUGGGCGUAAAGCGCACGUAGGCGGCUUUGUAAGUAAGAGGUGAAAGCCCGGAGCUCAACUCCGGAACUGCCUUUUAGACUGCAUCGCUUGAAUCCAGGAGAGGUGAGUGGAAUUCCGAGUGUAGAGGUGAAAUUCGUAGAUAUUCGGAAGAACACCAGUGGCGAAGGCGGCUCACUGGACUGGUAUUGACGCUGAGGUGCGAAAGCGUGGGGAGCAAACAGG